CAUUGCCCUUUGUCCUGUCACCCAUCUCUGGCCAUAUAAAAAGUCCCUCUCUCCACUUUUCAUAAGCCCCCUUAAGGUAUUGAACGGCUUCAGUGAGGUCUCCCUAAAGCCUUUUCUUCUCUAGACUGAAUAACCCCAGCUCUCUCAGCCUGUCUCCAUAGCACAGGUGUUCCAGCCCUCUGAUCCUCUUCAUAGCCUCCUCUGGACCUGCUCUAACAGGACCAUAUCUUUCUUGUGCUAAGUACCCCAGAGCUGGAUGCAGCACUCCAGUUGGGGUCAUGUGAGAGCACAGUGGAUGGGGAGAAUCCCUUGACCUGCUGGCCACCUUACUUUUGAUGUAACCUAGGAAGUGUUUGGAUUUCUAGGCCUGAGUGCACACUGUUGACUCAUGUCUACAUCCACAAGAACCCCUAAGUGCUUCUCCAGGUGACUGGUCUCAAUGGGUUGUCCUAGUCUGGGAAUACCACAAUCCAGGUGCAGCACCUUGCCUUGGACUUGUUGAACAUCAUGAGGUUCUUAUGGGCUGAUACACACACACACACACACACACACACACACACACAUACACACAUACACACACACUUCUCUAACUCCUUCAGCUUCAUUUCCCUUCUGCUAAGCACAGAGAGUCUGUCUGUCACUGAGUCCAUUCCUCUCUUUCACAGUUGUAUUUUAAGGGUGGGAGGGUGUGUUCUGGUUACAUUCAAGGUUAGAGAGGAGGGCAUGAGAUGACUGAGCAUGAGGAUGAAAACAAUAUGGACUGCAAAGUUAGAAGAUUCCAGCAUCCCAGCUGUCCUGUGAUUUUGUGCAUGGAAUGAGUGGUGUAAGCCUAUCAUAUAACUGUAUGCUACAGCCCUCCUUAUGGCAACGACAAAGAACUGGGUUUUUCAGACAUAAAAAUCAUCAGGAUUAGUAAAUGUAUUGCAAAGUCCUUGCAUAUGUGUGACUGCACAGUAGCCGUCGCUCAGGAAUUUUCUGGCUAGGGCCAAGGUGUAAGGGAUGAACAUAUGACAAUUCAGUCUAAGCCAAAAAAAGAAGUUGCAUGGGAGAAAACAAAGAGGUAAUGAUUAACUAAUUUUUUGAUUUCCAAAGUAUUGAAACCUGGUAUUCUUAUCUUGCUGGCAUUGUCUUUAAUGAAUUAAAUUAUUGUUGUGUGCAAUAGUUUGUCUUUAAAUAUUUUCCUUGCUGCACACAUGUAAUACAUACAAAAACACUCAUACCUACUGUAAAAAUUCCUAAUUCCUAUUAGCUGAAAAGCAUUAGAGCUGUCACUGCCUCUUGAAUAAAAGGUCUGUAUAGCGUAACUGUAUACUUCAGAUAUAACCUAGAAUGAGUUUUUAGGGCAACUUUCUACUAGCUUUGUUUAAGCUACACAAAGCAGCUAGAACUGGGACCCAGUCCUGUUCUCAAUAGUUGUAGUUUAAUACACCAUUCCUCAAAUUAGGAGCUGUAAAUAUUUGUAAUUGCCUACAACUUUGCAGUAAUUGAAAUAAGGCAGUCAUUAAACCUCGUCUUCCUGUCCAGUUAUCUGUGCUUUUUUCAGGAAUGUUUUUGCCCUUAACUAAUGCCAAUAAAUGACAAGUUUUGCAAAACAAUUGCUAUAUGAAAUGUACGUAUAUUUGAUAUUCAUUUCCGAGUUUCUCCACAAACUACCCGGAGUGAUAUAGAACUUAUUGCUGUAUUCCUAGAAAAGAUGAUUUUAUAGUACUGAUAUACAUUAACAUGGAGCUGUAGAGGCCUAUAUUUGGAAUGGCUCAUGUGUGUGUUUAUACUUUAUGAGUGGAACCCUGGAACCCAAAUAUAAGUGCAUAUAGAAACAUGAUAAGGUUUUGUUCUGAAAUUGAAGGCUCUGAAAAUACAAGAGCACAAUUUUAAAAAGAAUACACUUCAUAAAGAAACAUAUCCUCAAUCUCAAAUUAACAGAGAUGGAGACACUUAACAAUCUCUGGAAAUAAACUGAGAACGGCCUAAAGUAGUAGCACAUAUUAUGUCAAGAAGUGGAGUACUUAAAUUAUUUCCUGCAUUUUAAAUCUAGAAUGUUAGUUUGGCAUCUCAUCUAUUUAUAUUAUAUAUAUGUAUGAGAUAGAUAGAUAGAUAGAUAUACACACAUAUAUAUCAUAUGUAUAUAUACCUAUAUAUAUAUCAUAUGUACAAGGUAUAUAGGUAUAUAUAGCUAUAUACAUAUAUAUAUGUAUGUAUGUGUUUGUGUCUGUGUACAUGUAUAAUAGCUACUUAAGAAAGAAAAAGAAAAGCACCAAUGAGCUGUUUCCUACUGAACGAAAAUCUGAUCUACCAGGAUCUUGAACACAGGGAGGCCCUUCUUUCCAACUUCUAUGGACAUCUUUCAAAAAUAAAUUUCCAGAGCCAAAUUCCUAAAUAUGGCUCAGGCUGGCAUGACAGAUAGCUCAGCCUGCAGUAGCACCUCUUUCUUCACAACAGGCAAGGAUAAAAUAUGAAGUUUAUUGUAAAGUAAAACUUAUGGCCCCAAAAAUAUUUGUAGGUCUCCCAAGUUUGGUAGCUACUCAUAUGGACUUUUAAACCCCCAGUUUUAAAGCACCUGAAAUCCAUUUUCAGCUUUUGUGUGUCUUAUUGCUGUUUAUCCUCACCAGGAUCUCGAUUAAGAUUUGCUUUAAAAGCUUUUCUAAAUUGGAUUCUUAUUACUAAGAAGAAAAGUAGUAUCUCUGUUUACCUUUACAAAUGGGAAAAUGUUUGACUGAAUUUGUAGUCACAGUACUUUGGUAAAGAAUGAAAGACAAUUAAAUCUAACUGGGAAAUUUGAUAAAUAAUUCACUGCGAGAGCUGAGAGAUGCAUUGAUGUCAUUUAGGUUUUGUCUUUUUUUCUUUUAUAUGUUCUCUGUAUUCUUCACUCAUAUAUCUGUAGUCUAUUGUAUUAGUGACCAGUUUUCCCAGUACUGUCCAUGGCCUUUUCCUAAGCAGAAAGAUAAAACAAAUUCAGAGCUCCAAGCCCCGGGAGGUAAAAGGCUCUGUGCUAUCUUGGUUCUUCCUGGGAACCAAGGCCAAGAACAGCUCUUCCAGAUACAUUCUCAUGGACAAAGUACAGCCAGUGCUGAAGGGGGGACUCCAGAGAAGGAGCUUGACCUGGGGGGGAACUGCAUCACCUCUUGUGCUCCUAAUUGGUGUUUUUUAUCAAUUAUGCUAAUUUCAUAAAACCUUUAAAAUGUACUCAUCCCUGGGAGUUGGAGUGGGGAGGGCACUUUUGUGGACAUCUUUCUGUAAUUGCUUCUGAAGGCCCUCAAAUAAAGAUCCCCUUUUAUAUUACCUCCCUACUAAAAUUAUCUCAAGUUUCAUUUCCAGGUUGGGAAAAAGGCAACAGCACAGUAGUUUUUCUGGUAACUACAGAUAUGUCUUUUGACCUGGAGAACUGAGAGUCUACUCAAGAUUGCCUCACAUUUGCAUGGAACCCAAGGACAGUGUUUCAGAAAGGCAGUACGCACAGUUCAAAGAAAUAAUGUUUAAGGACCCGAGGAAAUGGCAUGAAGGUGACUUGGAGGAGAGUUAGGUUGGAUAUGAGGAAAAGGUUUUCCACACCGAGGGUGGUUGGACACUGGAACAGGCUCCCCAGGGAAGGAGUCACAGCACCAAGCCUGACAGAGAUCUGACUGUAGUUCGUUUAUUGUUUAAGAAGCAGCCACACAAGGGGCAAGUAUUUCAAUUGCGGCUUUAUGGACAGCAUAAGCCUUUAUUCAAGAAGCUGUCAAGUAGCUGCAGCCCAACUGAAAGGCUUAGAGAUAAAGAAGAAAUCAUUUAAUCAAAAUACUGUGACCUGAAGACCAAAGAAGUGAAACUAAAUGUGUAAGUGUACAACAUUGCAAAUAAGGCAAAGAUAAAGGAAUGUUCCUGGAGAAAACACUGAACGCUUGAUAAAAUGUAGCUGCCUGGGCAGUUAUGAUUUUAAUGGGAAAAGAAAUCACUUGGAAGAUGUGUUGCAUAGACUGGAGAAGAUGAUCCAGAUCUAUGAAAAAUUAAAAGGUCCUCUCUUUCAAAUCUAUAAUAUUACUUGAUUGUGAGAGUACUAAAUUUAAGAAAGGAACCCAAAUCCAAUCAUCCUAAUCAAACUACAAGAAGAUCACUGGAUCCAAUUCAAAAGUGGAUGCCUCACAAAAGAGGAUUUUCACAGACUCUGAGAGUAUCUUGCUCAUGAUGUCAAACUGUAAAAUAAUCUUCUUGAAAGGAAGAUAUGGAAAUGAAUGUUGUUAACAAAUUACAUUCAUAUUCAAUAGCUGUUCAUCUAAGUCACCUUUAAGUAAGUGAGGUAAUUAAUGAGGUUGGGAAAACACCAAACACAAAUCAUACCAUCAAAGCAAAUAUAUUAUGAUUUGUGCAUACAAAAUAGAUAAUUCCUUGGAAUGCACAAUAAUGAGGAGGUAUAAUGUUUUUGGAACCUCUUUUUGCACAGAUAUUUUCCAUGUCAUUCUGUUCCUUUUUCCCCAGCUCCUGCGCUUUAGUCCUAAAAGUACUCAGUAUGUCUGUAUCUUUCCAUUUGCUUCUUCCUCCCAAGAGGGUAUUUUAUUACUUUCAUUCCAGCUCUGAACAGAGUAGUACUUUUUAAAAUCUAGCACCACCUCUUUAUGGAGGUAUAAGCAGCAUAACAUGUAGUGUUAUGAAGCAAUGGAGGUGGCAUCUAUCACUUUGAAAUCUGAGGUUACAAUUCAGAGCCCAGAGUGUACAACAGUUUCAGCAAGACUGGAGCAUUUCCUCCAUGCAAAUAUUGAAGUUGAUUCUCUGACCCCACAAAGUCGCUCAGCAUAUUAUUGCUUAUUUUCAAGGUUUAAUUCUAACCUAACUCCUUUCUAUGGCAAUUAUUUUCCUUAUUGAAACUCGCAAUUACUGUGAAAACAUUCUUCUGAAAUUGGUUUCUGUGCUGCAAAAUAAGCAAAACUGCUCUAUUGUUUUGAAUAAAAAAAAAGAUUUUUUGAGAAAAUCUUGCCGUCAUUUGUAAAAAAAUUCAAAUCCGCAGAUUUUCCAAAUGAACUGAAUGAAUUUGAAAUAGAACUGAUCUAAGUGCAUUAUGAAGAUGUGAUGUGCUUGUUUUAUCUUGUUAAGCAGCAAGUUUUACUUUUCAAUGUCAUUUAUAUUACUCAUUGAAAUGAAAGUCAACUGGAGUAUAGCUUAAAAAAUCUAUUAAGCAUUUUCAAAAUGGCCAGUCUUCCAUGAAGAAUCAGAUUUUUCUUUUGAGCAAUACAGGUUAUUAAUAUACAACUUGGGUGUGCUUAUUAGUCAAGGAGUCAUGAAAGUUUUAGAUUCUCAUUAGAAAGAUAGUCCAGUCCAGAAAUAUCUGUACCUUGCCUGCCCUUUCUCCUUGACUAACAGAACAGAGAUCCUUUCCUAGUUAAACAGCAGCUAGAACUCAGAGCAGGCUAUAUGUUUCAUCCUGUCCCAUUGAUAUUUAUUUCUGAGUUCUUAAGCAGUGUUCUCUAUUGCCGUGAAAAUAUUCAUUCCUCCAGCACAAUUUCUGAAACAUUUUUUUUUAAGAGUUUGCUUCAUCAUUAUAUUUACAGAUACACACACAUAUAUACUGAAAUAUUUGUAAUCUGUUUCUUUAGAAAACCUGUAUCUUCAAAAUAUGUCACUAUUAAAUACUACAAUGAAACUGUUUUCCUCUGUUGAACACUUUUCAUUAUUCAUAUAUAUGGUUGAACAUGACAUACAUUUUUGAAUAGU